rnacentral:rRNA from 1 species
GUGGGGAAUAUUGCACAAUGGGGGGAACCCUGAUGCAGCGACGCCGCGUGGGUGAAGGAGUAUUUCGGUAUGUAAAGCCCUAUCAGCAGGGAAGAAGAAUGACGGUACCUGACUAAGAAGCACCGGCUAAAUACGUGCCAGCAGCCGCGGUAAUACGUAUGGUGCAAGCGUUAUCCGGAUUUACUGGGUGUAAAGGGAGCGCAGGCGGCACGCUAAGCCUGAUGUGAAAGCCCGCGGCCCAACUGCGGGACUGCAUUGGGAACUGGCGCGCUGGAGUGCCGGAGGGGUAGGCGGAAUUCCUAGUGUAGCGGUGAAAUGCGUAGAUAUUAGGAGGAACACCAGUGGCGAAGGCGGCCUACUGGACGGUGACUGACGCUGAGGCUCGAAAGCGUGGGGAGCAAACAGG